rnacentral:misc_RNA from 1 species
UGGCGCAGAGAGCUUCUAAGUCAAGGUAUUGGAUGGCAUAUGAAUAACGGUUCCUCAAUUUUGCGUAAGGAACAAGUGGAUUCCCGACUCCUUUCCUAGUGCCCCGAGAAUUAGAGAUAAUCCUAACCCGAGUAUUCAUUGGGCUUCUCAGUUGGUGGAUUGGGUUCAGUUUCAAUGGGACACUAAUGUGCUUCGAUAGAUCUUCCAAGAUGAGGAAAUUCGGAAUAUUCUUGCAAUUUCUAUCAAUUUGAUUAACAGGGAAGAUCGUAUUGUUUGGCAUUUCACAAAGGAUGGAACCUGCUCAAUGAAAUCUGGUUACCACCUAGCCCAAUUUUCUAAAAUUGAUCACUCAUUUUCCUCUCUGGCAGGCCAAGUCCAAUUUCAAUUAUGAAUAAUGCAGCCUUUUGGAAGCAAAUUUGGAGACUUCGUCUCCCCCCUAAGUUGGCUGUGUUUUAAUGGCGCUUUCUGAAAGAGAAGCUUCCAAUAAAUGUAGUCCUAAAAACUCAUUUUCCCCAUUUCUCUGAUGAAUGUCCAGCUUGUGGAGAGAAGGAAACCUUCAGGCAUCUGUUUUUUCUUGCCCAUCUACAAUAGCAAUAUGGCUGCAUUCUUCUAAUCUUGCAAGCAUUUCUAUGAUAGAUUGUUGGUGUGAAAUAUUCUCCGAAAUUGCUAAUCGUGUGCAAGGACAGGAACUCAUUCAGCUGUCUGUUUUUUUACUUUGGCAAAUUUGGAAAAAUAAACGCAAGCGAAUUUUCAAGGGCGAUCCUCUCCCUUAUCAGCAAGUCAUUCAAGCUGCUCAAAUGCACUUUGAUGAUUUCCUUACAGCUCAAGAUGGUCCCACUCAACGGAUUCAAUCCGAUCGUCAUGACCAUAUCUAGACUCCUCCAAUGGCUAUGGUUAAAAUCAACUCUGAUGCCACUACUUGCAUCCAACGCAACUUUGGAACCAUAGCUGCCAUUGCUAGAGAUGAUAACGGCGGGCCUUUUGGAUGGAGCCGCAAAAAGAUUAAAGGAAUCACUGAUCCCCUUAUCCUGGAAUGUAUAGCGUGUAGAGAAGCUACUAUUUUGGCAAAAUUGCAGAAUCAUGGUGGAAGAAGAUUCCCAAGUGGUUAUCAACAGCAUAAGUGGAGCCUUGAUCCCUCAAAGUAUCCACGGUCUCGUAAACGAUGUGUUAUCUGUGUCUCAAGAUUUUAAUUUUUUAUCUUUUAAUUUCAUUGGAAGGUCGGGUAACAAAAUGACACACUCUUUAGUAGCUAAAUCUCUAGCGUAUGAUUCCUUUUUGUGUUAUCCAAUGGCCCAAGUAGUCCUUAUAUAUUCUCUUCGGCCUUCCUAGACUGUUCAAUGAAAGAUGUCC